GUCUACGGCCAGGCCCUGAAUGUAUUUGAUCUUGUCUGAUCUCAGAAGCUCCAAGGUUGAGCUUGGUUCGUACUUGGAUGGGAAAUCACAUAGGCAUAGCAUUACUGUACUUU
rnacentral:rRNA from 1 species